rnacentral:rRNA from 1 species
GAUGAACGCUAGCUACAGGCUUAACACAUGCAAGUCGAGGGGCAGCAUGAAGUCAGCUUGCUGACUUUGAUGGCGACCGGCGCACGGGUGAGUAACGCGUAUCCAAUCUGCCCGCGGCUCGGGGAUAGCCCAUCGAAAGAUGGAUUAAUACCCGAUGGCGUGGUCACUCCGCAUGGAGUUUCCACUAAAGGUUUUCCGGCCGCGGAUGAGGAUGCGUAUGAUUAGGUAGUAGGCGGGGUAACGGCCCACCUAGCCUUCGAUCAUUAGGGGUUCUGAGAGGAAGGUCCCCCANACUGGAACUGAGACACGGUCCAGACUCCUACGGGAGGCAGCAGUGAGGAAUAUUGGUCAAUGGGCGAGAGCCUGAACCAGCCAAGUAGCGUGAAGG